UACGGAGGGUGCAAGCGUUAUCCGGAUUUACUGGGUUUAAAGGGUGCGUAGGUGGGUUGGUAAGUCAGUGGUGAAAUACUUUCGCUUAACGAAGGAACUGCCAUUGAUACUACCAGUCUUGAAUACAGUGGAGGUAGGCGGAAUGCGUCAUGUAGCGGUGAAAUGCUUAGAUAUGACGCAGAACACCAAUUGCGAAGGCAGCUUGCUAACACUGUUAUUGAC
rnacentral:rRNA from 1 species